GACGUAGGGUGCAAGCGUUGUUCGGAAUUACUGGGCGUAAAGGGCUCGUAGGCGGCCAACUAAGUCGGAUGUGAAAUCCCCAGGCUUAACCUGGGAACUGCAUCCGAUACUGGAUGGCUUGAAUCCGGGAGAGGGAUGCGGAAUUCCAGGUGUAGCGGUGAAAUGCGUAGAUAUCUGGAGGAACACCGGUGGCGAAGGCGGCAUCCUGGACCGGCAUUGACGCUGAGGAGCGAAAGCCAGGGGAGCAAACGGG
rnacentral:rRNA from 1 species